rnacentral:lncRNA from 1 species
CGUACCAACCAACAGCCUCGAGACAAUCACACCGAGAAGCUGCUGCUUCGGCUGUUGCGACUUCAGGAGCCCCAGAAAUUCACAAGCUUGGCCGCACGCAACUCGUGAUCCCUCGCCAUGACGUCCAGCAGUCCCUUCGGCGUGCUGCAGUGUUCUUCAAUCUAGACUAACAAAAUUCCCUCUGCCACAGUACUGAAUCAACACCGCAUCAUCGCUACAGCAACUUCUCCAUGCAAGCCCAGUCUUCUUCGCUGCCGUGGCUGGUGUUGUUGUGGCUCGAUAAUCCUCAACUGGCCGUGAAUCAGCCUUUGGUCAAGUUUGAUUUUUUUUCUUUUGCAGGUCUUCUCAGAGUACCCAACAGAGACGUCCACACGACAAACCCGAAGGGAGAGGACGCAUGCCUCCACUUCUCAUAAAAUCCACGGAAGAAAAAUUCUGGGCAUAAACAUUCCUAGUAAAAGAGGGUUUCUAAAGCGGUCCCGAAGCUUCCUUUUAACAUCAACGACGAAGCAGCCACGCCUUGCACAAAGCACGCUAGUCUUUCCUUAGAGGUUGAAAAUUUAAGUG